UGCACUCACUACUGUAAGUCACUUUGGAUAAGAGAGUCUGCUAAAUGACAUGGA
rfam:Salmo salar isolate Sally breed double haploid chromosome ssa03, whole genome shotgun sequence.